rnacentral:rRNA from 1 species
GGACUACUGGGGUAUCUAAUCCUGUUUGCUCCCCACGCUUUCGCACAUGAGCGUCAAUGCCAGACCAGGUAGUCGCCUUCGCCACUGGUGUUCUUCCGAAUAUCUACGAAUUUCACCUCUACACUCGGAAUUCCACUACCCUCUUCUGGAUUCUAGCUCGACAGUCUUAAAAGCAAUUCCCAGGUUAAGCCCGGGGCUUUCACUUCUAAUUUAUCGAGCCGCCUGCGUGCGCUUUACGCCCAGUAAUUCCGAACAACGCUAGCCCCCUUCGUAUUACCGCGGCUGCUGGCAC